ACCCACCCCCCGUCGCAAUUCCAUCUUCUCCAAAUCCACCCCAAACUUCCAACAUCCCAACGGAGUCCCCUGUUCUCGGCGCGAUCCGCCCCUCCCUCCCCUUGCUCGAGGCCGGCUGCCCUGAAUCGACCGAGAACGCCGAGUUCCGCAGCCGGGAUCGCCCAAAGGCACCUGCUUUCCGCCGAAUCCGCCGCCGCUGCCGCCAUCGUUGAUGCGCCGGGGCCGGGCCGUCGAGAUUCCGGCGUGAGGUGCGGUUCCUGACUUCCCGUGCGCGCGGAGAGGAGCGCCCGCCUUCCGGCCCCGUCGGCCAUGGCGUGCCGGGGAUUCUUCGAGUACGUCCUCAAGCUGCUCAACCUCGUCGUCAUGGCGGUCGGGCUGGCCAUGGUGGGCUACGGCGCCUACCUGCUCGUGAUGUGGCUGCAGGUGGUGCCGCCGCCGCCGCCGCUGCCACCGUCUCCGUCGCCGGUGGCGGUGGCUGCCAGCGGCGAGCUGGUGCGGCUCGGGAGGCCGCUGCUGCUCCUGGUCGAGGCGGCCGCCCUGUCGGACGGGACCGCGAAGAGGCUCUCCAGUGCCUGGUUUAUUUUUGCGGUCAUUGGUGUUGGUGUUGUACUCUUCAUCACAUCGAUCUUUGGUUGUGCCGGAGCUAGGAAUGGAUGCUGCUUGUCUGUUUAUUCAUUCCUCAUUAUUUUGUUCGCUUGCUGCGGGAGGCUUCAUUUUCUUCAACCAUAAUUGGAAAGAGGUGGUCCCAGUUGACAAAACUGGUAACUUUGACAUGGUGUACAACUUUCUGAAAGAGAAUUGGAGAAUUGCAAAAUGGGUUGCACUUGGAGCUGUUAUAUUUGAGGCAUUGCUAUUCACUGUGGCUAUCAUAGUACAGUCAGGCAAUCAAGCUGAUUAUGACAGUGAUGAUGAAUACAUUGGCCCGAGGUCUGGAAUAAGACAGCCAUUGGUAAAUCAGCAUCAGCAAGCUGCUGCUGAUCCUAGGGUGCCCAAUCUCGACUACCGCCCAAUCCGGAAUGAUGCAUGGAGCCAAAGGAUGAGAGAAAAGUAUGGGGUGGAUAGCUUCGAUCCAAACAGGUUUCAACAGGCCACCAUAUCUCCUGCAGAGCAAAGAAACCGAUGUACAAUUCUCUGAGGCUUGGUUGAUAUCAGGCACUAGUGAUUCCAUGUUUAUAUGCAACUGUGCAAUUACAUCGACUCCUGGAUAAUGCACGCCUGGUUUAUCCGAUGUUGCCAUAUUGUGUAGAAUAUGGAGAGUUUUGCCUUGGCCUGCCUGUGGCCGUUGGUUUGCAGGGUCAGAACUCCAUACUUCCACUGGUAUAGGCACUGAAUCUGUCAGGGUUUUGUGUUAAGUACUGAACCUAGUUUGUGUUUCAGUUAAUGUUUCAAUGUGCAUAAAACUUCUGUCUUCUGUCUGUGAAGUGAUUUUCACUAUAUGCACCAUGUUUAAACCAGACAUGUUUGUUACUCCAAAACUUCACAUUGCCUGAGAUCUCUAUGCACAUAUGAAUGAAAAUGCCGGGCCUUCUGUUCUUGCAA